GUUUUGAUUUUGAAAAGGCCCCUUUACGGGGUUCCCAAAUAAGGAAGGGACCCCCGGGGGCCAUUUAACUAAGUUGGGAGAGGUAAACGGCCUCCACCAAAGGGGAAAGGAUCCAUAUCCGGACCUGGGAAGGGGGAUUCGGCCCACAUUGGGAAUUGAGAACCCGGUCCCAAAAUCCUUACCGGAAGGCAGCCAGUAGGGAAUCUUCCGCCAAUGGAGGAAAGUUUGGCCCGAGCCACCCCCGCCUGAGUGAAAGAAGGUUUUUCGGAUUGGUAAAACUUUUGUUGUUAGAGAAGAACCAGGGAUGAGAGUAACCGUUCAUCCCUUGACGGUAUCUAACCAGAAAGCCCACGGCUAAUUACGUGCCAGCAGCCGCGGUAAUACGUAGGUGGCAAGCGUUGUCCGGAUUUAUUGGGCGUAAAGCGAGCGCAGGCGGUUUCUUAAGUCUGAUGUGAAAGCCCCCCGGCUCAACCGGGGAGGGUCAUUGGAAACUGGGAGACUUGAGUGCAGAAGAGGAGAGUGGAAUUCCAUGUGUAGCGGUGAAAUGCGUAGAUAUAUGGAGGAACACCAGUGGCGAAGGCGGCUCUCUGGUCUGUAACUGACGCUGAGGCUCGAAAGCGUGGGGAGCAAACAGGAUUAGAUACCCUGGUAGUCCACGCCGUAAACGAUGAGUGCUAAGUGUUGGAGGGUUUCCGCCCUUCAGUGCUGCAGCUAACGCAUUAAGCACUCCGCCUGGGGAGUACGACCGCAAGGUUGAAACUCAAAGGAAUUGACGGGGGCCCGCACAAGCGGUGGAGCAUGUGGUUUAAUUCGAAGCAACGCGAAGAACCUUACCAGGUCUUGACAUCCUUUGACCACUCUAGAGAUAGAGCUUCCCCUUCGGGGGCAAAGUGACAGGUGGUGCAUGGUUGUCGUCAGCUCGUGUCGUGAGAUGUUGGGUUAAGUCCCGCAACGAGCGCAACCCUUAUUGUUAGUUGCCAUCAUUUAGUUGGGCACUCUAGCAAGACUGCCGGUGACAAACCGGAGGAAGGUGGGGAUGACGUCAAAUCAUCAUGCCCCUUAUGACCUGGGCUACACACGUGCUACAAUGGGAAGUACAACGAGUCGCAAAGUCGCGAGGCUAAGCUAAUCUCUUAAAGCUUCUCUCAGUUCGGAUUGUAGGCUGCAACUCGCCUACAUGAAGCCGGAAUCGCUAGUAAUCGCGGAUCAGCACGCCGCGGUGAAUACGUUCCCGGGCCUUGUACACACCGCCCGUCACACCACGAGAGUUUGUAACACCCGAAGUCGGUGAGGUAACCUUUGGAGCCAGCCGCCUA
rnacentral:rRNA from 1 species